AGCUUUGCGCAGUGGCUGUAUCAUAGCCAAUGAGGUUUAUCCGAGGCGCAAUUGUUACUAAUAAAUAAGUCAGCCUUAAAAAAUGUUUCUUCAUUUAAAGUAGAUAUGAUUGUAAUCACUUCUUCAUG
ensembl:snRNA U4 U4 spliceosomal RNA